rnacentral:rRNA from 1 species
AUUGAACGCUGGCGGCAGGCCUAACACAUGCAAGUCGAACGGAUGGAGGACGGGUGGGUAAUGGCGGGGAAACUGGCUGAUGGAGGGGGCUAACUACUGGAACCGGUAGCUAAUACCGCAUAACAUCGGAUCGGCCCCGGUGGGAUUAGCUAGUUGGUGGGGUAAAGGCUGACCUAGGCGACGAUCCCUAGCUGGUCUGAGAGGAUGACCAGCCACACUGGAACUGAGACACGGCCCAGACUCCUACGGGAGGCAGCAGUGGGGAAUAUUGCACAAUGGGCGCAAGCCUGAUGCAGCCAUGCCGCGUGUAUGAAGAAGGCCUUCGGGUUGUAAAGUACUUUCAGCGGGGAGGCGUUACCCGCAGAAGAAGCACCGGCUAACUCCGUGCCAGCAGCCGCGGUAAUUC